UGCUAAUCUUUGUCGCCAGCUCCGCUUC
rnacentral:sRNA from 1 species